rnacentral:snoRNA from 1 species
CCCCUCCAGGGGCCUCACCCGUCAGACCUAAACACUAGUCUCCGUGGUGACAAGGGGAGGAAAUGUAAAACUGAAACGGACUUAAAUGUUGUGACACAGAAGCUCGUUUCAAACAACA